UCUGGUUGAUCCUGCCAGACCCGACUGCUAUCAGAGUGGGACUAAGCCAUGCGAGUUAACAUAGCAAUAUGUGGCAUACGGCUCAGUAACACGUAGUCAACAUGCCCAGGGGACGUGGAUAACCUCGGGAAACUGAGGAUAAACCGCGAUAAGUCAUCACUUCUGGAAUGGGUAAUGACUAAAAUCUACAUGGCCCCUGGAUUGGACUGCGGCCGAUCAGGCUGUUGGUGAGGUAAUGGCCCACCAAACCUGUAACCGGUACGGGCUCCGAGAGGAGGAGCCCGGAGAUGGGCACUGAGACAAGGGCCCAGGCCCUAUGGGGCGCAGCAGGCGCGAAACCUCUGCAAUAGGCGAAAGCCUGACAGGGUUACUCUGAGUGAUUUCCGUUAAGGAGAUCUUUUGGCACCUCUAAAAAUGGUGCAGAAUAAGGGGUGGGCAAGUCUGGUGUCAGCCGCCGCGGUAAUACCAGCACCCCGAGUGGUCGGGACGUUUAUUGGGCCUAAAGCAUCCGUAGCCGGUUCUACAAGUCUUCCGUUAAAUCCACCUGCUCAACAGAUAGGCUGCGGAAGAUACUAUGGAGCUAGGAGGCGGGAGAGGCAAGCGGUACUCGAUGGGUAGGGGUAAAAUCCGUUGAUCCAUUGAAGACCACCAGUGGCGAAGGCGGCUUGCCAGAACGCGCUCGACGGUGAGGGAUGAAAGCUGGGGGAGCAAACCGGAUUAGAUACCCGGGUAGUCCCAGCUGUAAACGAUGCAGACUCGGUGAUGAGUUGGCUUUUUGCCAACUCAGUGCCGCAGGGAAGCCGUUAAGUUUGCCGCCUGGGGAGUACGGUCGCAAGACUGAAACUUAAAGGAAUUGGCGGGGGAGCACCACAAGGGGUGAAGCCUGCGGUUCAAUUGGACUCAACGCCGGA
rnacentral:rRNA from 1 species